rnacentral:rRNA from 1 species
GAUGAACGCUGGCGGCGUGCCUAAUACAUGCAAGCCGAGCGAACAGAUAAGGAGCUUGCUCCUUUGACGUUAGCGGCGGACGGGUGAGUAACACGUGGGUAACCUACCUAUAAGACUGGGAUAACUUCGGGAAACCGGAGCUAAUACCGGAUAACAUUUGGAACCGCAUGGUUCUAAAGUGAAAGAUGGUUUUGCUAUCACUUAUAGAUGGACCCACGCCGUAUUAGCUAGUUGGUAAGGUAACGGCUUACCAAGGCAACGAUACGUAGCCGACCUGAGAGGGUGAUCGGCCACACUGGAACUGAGACACGGUCCAGACUCCUACGGGAGGCAGCAGUAGGGAAUCUUCCGCAAUGGGCGAAAGCCUGACGGAGCAACGCCGCGUGAGUGAUGAAGGGUUUCGGCUCGUAAAACUCUGUUAUUAGGGAAGAACAAAAGUGUAAGUAACUGUGCACGUCUUGACGGUACCUAAUCAGAAAGCCACGGCUAACUACGUG